rnacentral:lncRNA from 1 species
CUACUGCUGCUGCAGUGGUAGUGAGGUGUGCCCAGAAAAGUUCCAGAGGCUGGGCCAUGCCUUUUGCUCUGCUGAACACACCGGCAGGCCUGGGGCUGGCCAAGCAGGGGCUGGCUGCCAAGUGGUUAGUGAUGGAAGGGGACUCAGUGCUCAGCGUCCUGCUGUCUGCUGUGGGUUCUGGCAGGAACUUGCUUGCAAACGUCAGCAGAGAAGCUAAGGUAUAGACUCGGAGUAACCUCUCGCUCCGACCCCCGGUGACAAGACGGAUAGUUCCAUUCAUCUAUGGCCAGCCAUUAUGGAGGCUAAGCAGUCAAGCAUGCUGUCAUAUCUCAAGCCUCCCACAUCAGCCACAUCAGCCACAGCAGACGACAAACCUCGACCUUGCACACUGACGCAGCAGACAGAGAAGAAGGUGUAGACAUUAGUGACCUGCCUGCCCUGGUGGAUUCAGAUGACGAUGAGAUGUUGACAGAUGACCCUCUUCCUCUCUCUCCUGCACCCCAGUCCCCUGUACCUCCCACCACCCCAACCUCCAGUGACUCAGCCUGCCACCCCAUCCUCACCACCACCACCUUUCGGCCUUCCAAUGUGCUCGCUGUCUUCCUGGUUCUGCAAGGAGACGACGGUGAGCAUCACAGACCUGGACUCUCUCCUCCUGGAGCUCACGGUGCAGCGCUCCAGACAUCUUUACACCACAGCCGCUUGACGAUUCUGGCCACACCACGGUUUGCACACUUGCGUCAAAUCAAAGUCACUUUUAUUUGGAACAAUUAGCCUUGAAUGUAUUGAGAAAGGCCACAUUGGCCUUAAUAUUUAUUCUGUUGCCUUAAGCCAUAGCAGAAAAGAAAAAAAACCCGUUAAAUCAGUUAGUUGGAGAUGAAGUUCAUGGAUGUUUCCACUGUCACCUGUUUAUUUGGGCAUCAAGGAGAUCCAGAUUUUCUGUCCUUUAGAUAACAGAAUAUUUGGAUUUUCACCAGUGAUGCAAUGCAACACUUAACAUAAUCCAAUUAAACAGAGGUGUAUUUGGUUACUGAGAAAAUCAGAAUUCUCUGGUUAGUUAGCCAGCUAGCUAGCUAGUCAGUCAGUGCUAUUUGGGUGUUUGACUACGUUUACCUGGACCCACACACAUUACAAUUGCCAAAUGCUUUACAACUUGCACAACGUUUGGAAGACCUCAUUUGUGUAGUGGUGAAGAUCACGGGCUUUGGCGUCAUCUAGAUGGAUAGGCCCAGGUUCAAAUAGUGGCUCUGCCGUAUUAUAUUUACUAAGUGACCUUAGAUUCUUAAAGUUUUGCUUCCCUCCUUGUAAAAUAAGGAUAAUAGCUAUUCCCCAGGGCUGCUGUGAGAGCUGAUGAGAUAAUCCAUUAAACUAGCUUAUAGGAAACACUCAA